UACGUAGGGAGCAAGCGUUGUCCGGAAUCAUUGGGCGUAAAGAGCUCGUAGGCGGCUUGGUAAGUCGGAUGUGAAACCUCCAGGCUCAACCUGGAGUCGCCAUCCGAUACUGCCAUAGCUAGAGUCCGGUAGGGGCCCACGGAACUCCUGGUGUGAGCGGUGAAAUGCGCAGAUAUCAGGAAGAACACCGGUGGCGAAGGCGGUGGGCUGGGCCGGCACUGAGCUGAGGAGCGAAAGCGUGGGGAGCGAACAGG
rnacentral:rRNA from 1 species